rnacentral:sRNA from 1 species
AAUUAUUUAAAUCCGCACACGUUUCGACACAUUGUCCUGGGUGCUGGCUCUCGCGAGUUGGUUGGAUGGUGGGAGGCGUGGAGGUCUAAC